ensembl:lncRNA
CACUGAUGGAGUUUUGGUUCCUUGCCGCUGUCGCCUCUGGCUUGCUUAGUUGGGGACACUUCAUUUACAGCGAUAUCGUUGACUUGAUUGCAAAUUAUUGCACAGAUACUAUUUAAACUGAACUGAGCUGCAUGGUGACAUCACUGAAUUCAAUGAUGAACUGCCUUUAACUGUCAUUUUGCAUUAUUGACACACUGUUUUUCUAAUUAAUUUUGUUCAGUUGCUUUGACGCAAUCUUUUUUGUUUAAAGCACUAUAUAAAGAAAGGUACGGAGCCCCUUAAGGUUCAUUGUGGUGGAAAAAAAUCAGAGAGUUAUGAACGUGAAAUAAUGACACAGACUGGCUACACCAUCUCAUCUGCCGCAGAUACUGUAUCAGGAGGACAGCGCGUUUGUUUGAGGCACUUUUCACUUCAACUGUGUCUGACAGGAGAAUUAGCUUUUCUGAGCUUACUAGCCGUUGAGAGUUACCAUGGCAACCGCGGACACAUCAGCUGCUGGAGAGGAGAGGACUCCUCUGACACUUUCUCUGUUUCUCGUCAGUUAUACCAAAGAAAAGUUCAACAACUGCGACAGAUUGCUUAAGUAACACAUGUUAAUAUCAUCCACACUCUAUGUACUUUUGUUCAUAUUUAUACCUCUGUGAUUAUGGUAUAUUUCCUUAAUUAUCUGAAAUGUCUGCUAGCAAACAUUACGCUAGUGUAGAAACAAAACUAUAGCAUAAUUGAUUUGAGCUCUUAUUAAUGAAAGUUGGGGCUUUUAAUCACAUCUUAUGCCUAAAGGAGCAGUUUUGAUAGCUUUGUAAAAACAAAAGUCUUGAACUCUGUAAAGACGCUAAAACCCUUUUUUAAUAUUAUUGUUUUUACUAGCCGUUGAGAGUUGCCAUGGCAACCGCGGACACGUCAUCAGCUACUGGAGAGGACGCGUCUGACACUUUCUCUGUUUCUCGUCAGUUAUACCAAAGAAAAGUUCAACAACUGCGACAGAUCGGUUAAGUAACACAUGUUAAUAUCAUCCACAGUCUACUUUAAGUACUUUUGUUAAUAUUUAUACCUUAAUUAUCUGAAAUGUUUGUUAGCAAAUAUUACGCUAGCGUAGAAACAAAACUAUAGCAUAAUUGAUUUGAGCUCUUAUUAAUGAAAGUUUGGGCUUUUAAUCACAUCUUAUGUGUAAAGGGGCGGUUUUGAUAGCUUUGUAAAUGUUUUGCUGAUAAUUUGUCAAUAGAUAAAUGGAAGUAAGCUAAUUAAUUUAACCUGAAAGUCUGCACUGUAGAGUCUGUCAGUGACGUCACUUGCACACAGUCUAAAAUGGGCUGAAACUAUUUCAAACCACUGUUUCAAACACGUUUUGAUUGUUCAUUGUAAACAAAUUCUGGUAUCUUAAGAUUUUUUUUGUAUUUUUUAUUUUGUAUUUUCCCUUAUUCUCUAGUUUGUUUAUUUCUAAUAAGGAGCUGGAGGCCCUGGAGAAGCAGAUCCGUGACCUCGUGGAGAAGCAGGCUCAGCUGAGAGAGCGGAGAGCCGUGAUGGAAACAUUCAGGGGUUGAUGCUCAUAAGUCCGGUGUAAGUAUACAGCACGCUGCUAACUCUCCCACCACCUCUACUCUGUGUGGUUCUCUGCACAGGCCCGGUGUACCCAGGACGCAAUCUUUCCAGAUGUCCUUCACCCUGUGCCACAGCGUAAGACAUGAGCCAGGUCCUGGGCGACAACCUCUCUCCCCCCGCCGCCUCCGGUCUUCGGGAACUCCACUGGAAACCGAUUUGCUCCACUUCACGAGACAGAACACGACUCUGUGUUCGUCAGAGACUCCAUUAUCCGGCACGUUCGUGCUAUGUAAGCUGAAGGUAAUGUGCACACUCACUGUUUCCCUGGUGCUCGUGUUCUUGAUAUUUCUGCGCAGAUACCCGUGAUCCUGAAGGGUGAAGAGAGCAUCGGAGCGGUCGUGCUUCACACCGGGGUUAACGAUACCAAGCUGCGGCAGACGCAGACACUAAAGAGGGACUUCAGGAGCCUGAUCGAGACGGUGCGCAGCAUAUCGCCUGCACGAUGAUCAUCAUCUCAGCACCUCUUCUCAUGUAUAGAUGAGGACACGAAAGGUUCAGUAGAUUUUUUGCUCUAAAUGAAUGGUUAUUGUCAUGGUGUAAAGAACAGAAACUGCUCUUUGUUAAUAAUUGGAAUCUUUUCUGGGAGCGACCUAGGCUUUUUCGCGCUGAUGGCCUGCACCCCAGCAGAGUCGGAGCAGAACUCCUGUCGGACAACAUCUCAAGGACUCUACACUCCAUUGACUAGGCAGUUUGUGAAGACAGAUAAUCAAGAGAUGUGACAAACUGUACAGAAGUCAGUUCCAGAUCCACCCUCCACACCAGACCUCUCUCAUAUGGACUGCUGUCUACUAGCAUACUUCGGUGGAUUCAGAUAUUACUCAGGGACAUGAACACUUGAAUAUUGCAAGCAUAGAGAAAGUAAGAAUUACUGAAGAUUUAAGAAUUUAAUGUUAAUUGCUUAAACAUUAUAUAUACUGUUUUAGCAAUUAACAUUAAUAGUUUUUUUUUGGUGUCCAAAGCACCUAAAAGCCAAUUCACACCACCAUACUCCAACAGUUCAAACAAAACAAAAUAAGCAUGUUUUUUUAAAUAGUUUUUUUGGCAGUGUGAACUGGCCAUAAUGAUGUAUGUUAGGUGUGAGAUUCAUUAAACCUGAUUUGCUAUUAUACAUCUGUUCAUAAGAUAUUGCAUAUGAUUUUCAGUUAAUUGUUUGUAGUGGUUUGGUAAAGGGUGUGAUUAGCUGAUGUAUUAUUGUGGGAGCAUGUGAUUAGUUGAUGAAUUGUGUGCAUGGUUAAUGAUGGCUCUUAAGUAUUUAAAUGCAAUGGGCUGAGUGCCUACUAAGACUUGAAUAUUUCAUGACCCUGGAUGCUAACAGAAGGAUAUAGAUAUUUAAAUAUAUGGACAUUUAUUUAUUAUUAAUAUAUUUUAAUCUAUCUAUGCUUCUGUAUGGGCUGAAUGCUUUCAUUCACAUUUUGCUGUAUAUCCUAUGUUUUUUUAUUAAUAAUUUGGGUGUAUUACUGGUCAUAUUUGUUUGUUAAUAAAUGAACUGAAUUCAUUUCGAGUCUGUAUUCAUUAUUCACAGCUGCUGAAACAGCCUUUAAAUUAGUUUGGGCAUAUGAGGACAUAAAUUAGAUUAAACUACUGCAUGUCCGCCCAUAAAAAAUAAAUAAUUAUCAAAAAUUACCAACUGAUUACCAGCACACAACUACCGAUUCGCGACGUUGCCACGACGUCGCAGUUACUUACUGGUAACGUCACAAAGUUACGUUGUGGCGACGUAUACGCACCUUUCACUUUUCCGGUUGCCACGACGUAACUAGUUACGUCGCCACGACGAAACUUUGGUCACCAGAUUACGUUGCAGUUACGUAACAGUUACGUACUUUUGUUAGCUGGGAUAUUAUUAAA